rnacentral:rRNA from 1 species
AUUGAACGCUGGCGGCAUGCUUUACACAUGCAAGUCGAACGGCAGCGGGGAGGAGCUUGCUUCUCUGCCGGCGAGUGGCGAACGGGUGAGUCAUACAUCGGAACGUGUCGAGAAGAGGGGGAUAACCACCCGAAAGGGUGGCUAAUACCGCAUAAAUUCUGAGGAAGAAAGCUGGGGACCUGGGAAUAGGCCUAGCGCUUUUUGAGCGGCCGAUGUCGGAUUAGCUAGUUGGUGAGGUAAAGGCUCACCAAGGCGAAGAUCUGUAGCGGGUCUGAGAGGAUGAUCCGCCACACUGGAACUGAGACACGGCCCAGACUCCUACGGGAGGCAGCAGUGGGGAAUUUUGGACAAUGGGGGCAACCCUGAUCCAGCAAUGCCGCGUGUAUGAAGAAGGUCUUAGGGUUGUAAAGUACUUUUGUUAGGGAAGAAAAGUCAGCUGUGAAUGAUGGCUGAUACUGACGGUACCUAAAGAAUAAGCACCGGCUAACUACGUG